rnacentral:rRNA from 1 species
AGAGUUUGAUCCUGGCUCAGAACAAACGCUGGCGGCGUGCCUAACACAUGCAAGUCGUACGAGAAAGUCCGCUUCGGUGGAUGAGUAAAGUGGCGCACGGGUGAGUAACGCGUGGAUAAUCUACCCUUUAGUCUGGAAUAACUUAUCGAAAGGUGAACUAAUACCGGAUAAUAUCCCGAUUUCUUCGGCGAUCGGGAUCAAAGAAGGCCUCUGCUUGCAAGCUUUCACUGAAGGAUGAGUCCGCGUACCAUUAGCUAGUUGGCAGGGUAAUGGCCUACCAAGGUUAUGAUGGUUAGCUGGUCUGAGAGGAUGAUCAGCCACACUGGAACUGAAACACGGUCCAGACUCCUACGGGAGGCAGCAGUGAGGAAUAUUGCGCAAUGGGGGCAACCCUGACGCAGCAACGCCGCGUGAGUGAGGAAGGUUUUCGGAUUGUAAAGCUCUGUCGAGCGGAAAGAAGUGCAUGGUGGUUAAUAUCCAUCAUGCUUGACGGUACCGCUAAAGGAAGCACCGGCUAACUCCGUGCCAGCAGCCGCGGUAAUACGGGGGGUGCAAGCGUUGUUCGGAAUCAUUGGGCGUAAAGCGCGUGUAGGCGGGCUGGACAAGUCAGAUGUGAAAGCCCUGGGCUUAACCCAGGAAGUGCAUUUGAAACUGUUCAGCUAGAGUAAGGGAGAGGAAAGUGGAAUUCCUGGUGUAGAGGUGAAAUUCGUAGAUAUCAUGAGGAACACCGGUGGCGAAGGCGACUUUCUGGCCCUAUACUGACGCUAGACGCGAAAGCGUGGGUAGCAAACAGGGAUUAGAUACCCUGGUAGUCCACGCUGUAAACGAUGUUCACUAGGUGGUGGGGGUAUUGACCCUUCCAGUGCCGCGCUAACGCAUUAAGGUGAACCGCCUGGGGAGUACGGUCGCAAGAUUAAAACUCAAGGAAUUGACGG